AACGAACGCUGGCGGCAUGCCUAACACAUGCAAGUCGAACGAGACCUUCGGGUCUAGUGGCGCACGGGUGCGUAACGCGUGGGAAUCUGCCCUUGGGUUCGGAAUAACAGUGAGAAAUUACUGCUAAUACCGGAUGAUGUCUUCGGACCAAAGAUUUAUCGCCCAGGGAUGAGCCCGCGUAGGAUUAGCUAGUUGGUGGGGUAAUGGCCUACCAAGGCGACGAUCCUUAGCUGGUCUGAGAGGAUGAUCAGCCACACUGGGAUUGAGACACGGCCCAGACUCCUACGGGAGGCAGCAGUGGGGAAUAUUGGACAAUGGGCGCAAGCCUGAUCCAGCAAUGCCGCGUGAGUGAUGAAGGCCUUAGGGUUGUAAAGCUCUUUUACCCGGGAUGAUAAUGACAGUACCGGGAGAAUAAGCUCCGGCUAACUCCGUG
rnacentral:rRNA from 1 species